GCCAACGCUCAUACUGCGCUGAGUGCACUCGUUCUCGUCCGAUCACGAAAGUUAAGCAGCGCCGGGCACGGAUAGUACUUGGAUGGGUGACCGCCUGGGAACUCCGUGUGGUGUUGGCU
rnacentral:rRNA from 1 species